CUGUUGUGCACGCCCACUCAUCCCUACACACCUGUGUCUGGUUCCCCAUCAAGAUGGUCUGUAUAUAUACCCCUUAUCCCUCUGUGUUCCUUGUGAAGUCUCGUGUAGUUAUCAUCACAUUCUGAGCGUUAUUUAGAUAUCCUGUUUUGUACUCUUGUUGAAGACUCCUUUUUGUUCCAGACCUCGUUGCCUCCUGCCUGAUCCCUGUCUGUACCUUUGCUUAUCUCCGUGCUCCUGGAUUUCGACCUCCUGCCUGUCUUCUGGAUACGACUAAGCCUAAUCCCUGUUUACCUGUUAUUCAUUAAAUCUGCGCUCUGCGCUUGGGUCGACUCCUGUCUCCUGUGAUGCGUUACAGAAGACUUCGCCUCAGCCAGACCCAGCGGAGUGUGUCACAGGCCUCCCGCUGCCCUUGAGGAUGUCGGAGCCAGAUCAGCAUACAAAGCCCCGCCCACAGCUGCUGCUCUGUGUCCUUCACAUCGAUCAGCUGGUGGAAUGAAAGGUCAAAGUUCACCACCACACUUCCAAGACUGUGAAAAAACACAUAAAGGAAGGAAUCGAUAUCUACCUGAAGUACAAAACCUCACACGACUUGAACACCUGUGCGAGAUCACUGUGAGUGAACGCCUUCGAUACCUGUUGACCAAUCAGAUGACAGGCUGGGAUCAGUUACCUGCUGUUGGACAUCGUAAGCCAAAGAUUUAAACCUCAGACUGCUGGAGUUCUUCAGCUCUUCAGAGAAAACAGCUCCCUCUGUGAUCGACAUUCGACCGCUUCAGGCUUAACCACGAAACUACAAUGAGUCCGACGCAGCAGAGUGUGAAGUCCAGCAGCAAUAAACAUGUCAGGAGACCUACUUGUAUGUAGCUCCGCCCCCUGCACACACCUGUCAGAAGAUCUACUUUCAUGUGGCUCCGCCCCUCUGCACUCGCCUGUGUAAUAUUAUCUUUGGUGAUUUGUACAACGCAAUGAACACAUUAAUAGUAAUAAUAUAAUAAUUGUUACUUCAAAAUCUGGUUGAAAACAUUGUUUAAAUUUAUAUUAACUAAAUAUAUUAAUCAAUUUAUAAAUAUAACCAUUUGUGUUCACCCCUUGUUUGAAAUAAACAAUCCAUUCAUGUAUUUACUUUUA